UUCAAAACAGCGUCUUGUUUGUAGCUUCUUGAAUAGAUUUUCAUCGUUAACUCUCAACAGUCUACAGGUUCAGUAUCAUUCGAGCGAGUGUUAAUAGACUUAUUUCGUGUACACUGCAAUUUCAACAAAAAAUAUGGAAAUCUUAGCGGCUGAAGUAACUUCUUCAGACCAUUAUUCUGUACAUCUUAACUGGUCUUCCUCUCUGCUUCAAUUCAAAUAUAAGCUUUUAUGUGAAACAGAGAGAAUCUAUACUGUGGUACAGAAAAUCGAGGGUAGUAUUGCAGAGGAGGACAAGUGGCAGAUUGCAUAUAUAGGAUAUGGUGAACAUACAGUUGUGAUGAAUCUUAAUCCAAGUCAAGAGUACCUGUUUAGAAUUCGAUUUCAUCGAAGUGAUGAUAAUUACUCUGCCUGGUCACCUUCAACAAAAGCCAUCACAGAAAAAGAACCAUACUAUGGUGAGAACUUACAUGACGCUGUGAGCCAACAGAAAUUUCAAGAAAUUCAUGAUGUGUUACAAUCUGGAAAUGUCAAAAUUGAUGUGCCAGAUAAUGAAGGUCUAAGUGCAUUAAUGAAUACAGCAAGACAAGACCAAACUGAAAUUAUGAAAAUACUCUUGUCCUUUAAUGCUUCUGUUAAUGCUAAAGAUGAUAGUGGGAAAACAGCUUUAAUGCAUGCCUGUAUCCAUGGUCAGCUGGCAGCUGUGAAGAUCCUGGUCCAAAAUGGUGCACUCUAUGAAGAUUUUGAUUUGGGUGGGUCUGCUCCAUUGCAUUAUGCUGUUGAUAGCUGUGACUCUGACCUAAUUGAAUGGAUGAUCAGGAAUGGAGCAGAUGUGAAUAUUCAAGAUAAAAAUGCUCAUUGGACUCCAUUGAUGCGAUGCGCUUCUCUAAAUGGUAACAAAUUAAUUGCUCUUACGUUGAUCCGCAAUGGAGCUGACAUUGAUCUCAGGGAUAUUGAUGGCAAGACUUGUUUAAUGAUUGCUGUCAUCAAUGGCUAUCAAAAGUUGGUGGAUGUUCUCUUGGAUAACAAUGCUAAUAUUGUAAUAUACAAUAAGAAUGGUCAUACUGCAUAUGAAUUGGCCAUGUCACUUGAAAAAGAUUCAAUAAUAGAGAGCCUGAUGAAAUUUAUGAAAAAGCAAAAAAUUGAGUGUUGCUAAGAAGUCAAGGUGUAAUGUGAACAUUGCACAACUUAUGAAAUCUAGCUGAUGAUAGCCCUGCAUUUAAAUUGAUGUAAUGAUUGCAUUGUUCAAUUAAACGGAGCUGCUUGAAACGGUCGUACUGCAUCACUUCUUGAUAUCCUGUUGCUUAUUUUGAUAUAUAUAUAUAUGAAUUGAAUUGAAUUGAACCAAUUUCAUUGCAUGAGCUGUGGUCAUGCUGGGGCAUUGCCAUGUGGUUUUGAAUUGUGAUAACAAGCUGGAAGUGGAUUUGGAGUGGCCUUUCCAUAUUUUUCUUUAUUUCUGUGUCUUUAUACCUUACAAUUCAAUGUGCACAUGGAUGGACAGAAUCAUCUUUUGCCUGCUUUGUCUCUCUUAAAUAAUCUACUAGACAUUGGUGAGAGUGUUACGUCUCUGUAAUUAGACCUGUGCUUCUGAAACAUAUUACUUCAGUGUCACUGAAUCUUGCAUACUUUUCUAUCCUUAAACUCAAAGUUGAACAGAAGUGGACAACUUGACCUGUAAUAUAAUUCUAUCUUGUAAAAUUCUUACAAAACCAAUUGAAACAAUUUUAACAUAUUUCAAUAGUAUUGUUGCAAAUAAAGUUAUUUUUCUUCACUAAUAAACUACCAUAUUCAUCUGGAA